CGUUCCCGGGCCUUGUACACACCGCCCGUCACACCAUGGGAGUUGGUUUUACCCGAAGACGGUGCGCUAACCGUAAGGAGGCAGCCGGCCACGGUAGGGUCAGCGACUGGGGUG
rnacentral:rRNA from 1 species